rnacentral:rRNA from 1 species
UACGGGGGGGGCAAGCGUUGUUCGGAAUUACUGGGCGUAAAGGGCUCGUAGGCGGCCAACUAAGUCGGACGUGAAAUCCCUCGGCUUAACCGGGGAACUGCGUCUGAUACUGGAUGGCUUGAAUCCGGGAGAGGGAUGCGGAAUUCCAGGUGUAGCGGUGAAAUGCGUAGAUAUCUGGAGGAACACCGGUGGCGAAGGCGGCAUCCUGGACCGACACUGACACUGAGGAGCGAAAGCCAGGGGAGCAAACGGG